rnacentral:rRNA from 1 species
UACGUAGGGGUCGAGCGUUGUCCGGAAUUACUGGGCGUAAAGCGUGCGCAGGCGGUGAGCUGUGUCCGAUGUGAAAGCCCCGGGCUUAACCUGGGAAUGGCAUUGGAAACUGGCUCGCUGGAGUGUGGCAGAGGGGGGUGGAAUUCCGCGUGUAGCAGUGAAAUGCGUAGAGAUGCGGAGGAACACCGAUGGCGAAGGCAGCCCCCUGGGCUAACACUGACGCUCAGGCACGAAAGCGUGGGGAGCAAACAGG